GCGAACGCUGGCGGUAGGCCUAACACAUGCAAGUCGCACGGCAGCACAGUAAGCGCUUGCUCUUACGGGUGGCGAGUGGCGGACGGGUGAGGAAUACAUCGGAAUCUACUUUUUCGUGGGGGAUAACGUAGGGAAACUUACGCUAAUACCGCAUACGACCUACGGGUGAAAGCAGGGGAUCUUCGGACCUUGCGCGAUUGAAUGAGCCGAUGUCGGAUUAGCUAGUUGGCGGGGUAAAGGCCCACCAAGGCGACGAUCCGUAGCUGGUCUGAGAGGAUGAUCAGCCACACUGGAACUGAGACACGGUCCAGACUCCUACGGGAGGCAGCAGUGGGGAAUAUUGGACAAUGGGCGCAAGCCUGAUCCAGCCAUACCGCGUGGGUGAAGAAGGCCUUCGGGUUGUAAAGCCCUUUUGUUGGGAAAGAAAAGCAGCAGGUUAAUACCCAGCUGUUCUGACGGUACCCAAAGAAUAAGCACCGGCUAACUUCGUG
rnacentral:rRNA from 1 species